UGGAGAGCAACGAGGGGCUGUUUGCUGGUAACUAUAUGGAAACCCAUUACCUGGAAGACGGCAGUGCAGUCACAGGCCCUCCCAACUUCACGGCAAACUGCUACUACCAUGGAAAGGUGGAGGGCCACAUGGAGUCAGAUGUCAGUCUCAGUACUUGUGCUGGGAUUAGGUAAGUUUCUCUUUUAAUAUUAUCGUAGUCAGUGUUGCUUCAGCCACGCCGUACCCCCACAUUAAGUUACAUGCAGUUGUACAUUAAAGUUUACAACUUCAAACUGUAAUGUGGUUUAUUGGUACUUUAUGUGAAAGACCGACACAGUGCAGAACUGUGAAGCUGAUGGAAAAACACAGUAUGAUGUUCAAUAUUUGAAAAGCCUGCGGCAUUGUAUUUAUUGUGUAUGUUUUUAACCCUGUAUAUUCUGAUUCACUUCAAUGAAACACCAAUAUCUAUGACUUCCACUGAAAUUCAAAACUGUUGAAGGUUACUCAUCGCAUUGCAUGCCUAUCAACGUCUUCAGAUUAACCUUCAACAUAUCAUAAGCCCUCAGACAUUUUUCUGCCUUUGUAUUCAAACAUAUUCUUAAAAACACUUCUGAAAGAAACUUGUAUUUGCUUUAUGUUAAAAAAAAAAAAGUGUUGACACAUUUUACGUUUUUACUUGAAAGUGUUCCAGUAUUUGACCCCUGCCUGGAUCAAGAAAUGUUGUCUCGAUAGGACCUUCCUGUUAUUUUAUAGAUCCUUGUUCUUUCAGUAGCUGACGCUACUUACAUGCAUAGUUCUGCAAUAUUUCAUGUGCUCUACUUAGACUUUUAGUGACAGUUGCCGCUUUUAACCACACAAAUAAGGUGUUUUACAUCCAAAUUGCCGCAGAUAAUCUUUCGCAAUAAACUCUGGAGAUGAGAGUGUUUAUGUAGUUGCAAAAAUGACUGCGAGGUUCAAAACAUGUGAAACGUUUCAGGUUUGGAAACUCUUUGUUUGCAGAUGUCAAACUGCUGAAGUGAUUGCUGCGAUAUUGUUGGAAAGCAUCCGGAAGGUUUUCAUAAAUCAGCCAAAAGGUUCAAACCCUCUGCAGAGUGAUUUAGCAGAGUUCAGAUGAAUUGCUGUUGACCUAAUAUUCAUUUAUUUUAGUUUCUGUGAAACCCGCUCAGUGACGGACCAACAAAACGCUUCUCGAGACAAAACUACACAUAACUUGUCCCGCUCGUAGACACAAAUGGGUUCCUAGUUUCGCGUUGGUAGCUGUUAGACUUCUGGGAGGGUAUAAGUUCAUUUGGUUCUUAAAUAUUGUGCAAGGUUCAAAUUACUUUAAAUUGUAAAAACUAUGUGAGGAGAAAUACUUAAAAGAA